CAAACAUUGGCUUACAGGAUACUUUUUAAAAAACUGAAUUAGUGGCCAAGAUUUUUGAAAUGGGCAGUUUCUGAGCAAAGUCUGGAUUUGGGCUUCCUUUGGAGAAUGAGAAGGCCUGGCAGUCCUGGGGCCAUGUGCCCAUGUGGAUGGAGCUUUUAGACAAGCCCCGUUCUCCCCUGAGCCCCCGUUAGCAGGCCCACUUGCUGUUACCUGCGUAACUCUCGAGUAGGUGGCAUUUGUGACACUUUCAGAACGUCUUGGCACUUCACAAGGGGCCUUCCUUAGUGGCCCAGUAAGCAAGUGACCUGUACUCACGUGGGUAGGGAGGAGAGUGCAGCUGCCCCCUGACCCUCUUGGGGACGCACCUUCUGUUCCCACCCUCAGCCUUGGCAAUGCUCCCUGGCAGGGAGCAAGGGAGGACUUGUGCCUUGGGUAUGACUGCUUUUCUUUCUCAGGAAAAUACAGCACCUUGACUGUUAUCUCAUGUCAUGUCCUUCCAAAGCCCAGGGCGCUGGCUGGGUAGCUCCUUCCCAGAGCAGGUGGAAGCAGCACUAGGUCAAGUAACUGGGAGAAUGCCGGGGUGGGGGUCCAUCCCACCCCUUGCCAUGAGGACACAGCCCUUUCCCCCUCAGCUGGACCCUUUCUUAAUUGGGGAGGGGCCCUGUCUUCUUCAAUAGCUAAAAUCUGGCUGCCUGGUUUCCCCCUGGGAUAAGAUAAUGGGGGCGAGAGGAGCAGGGUGUGGAGGGAACAGAUGGCCUCAUAACCAGUUUGCCCAGAGUCACCUUGUGGAUCUGCCCCAUCAGGAUUUGUGAAAGGAGACGCUCUCAGAUCUUUACCCAGCUUUAACUUGAAAGCAUGGGAGGGACAAGGAUAUUCCAGGUCCCUGAUAAGGAGUGAGGGUCUUUAGGAGAGAGGGGGUCUGAGCAGCCUCUGGAAGGAGGCCCCCUUUCCCCUUUCCCCCAAACACUGCCAUCUGCUCAUCUCUCAUGUACAGUAAUGAAGACCACUGGUUGGGCUUUUUGGAGCUACAAAUUGGGGAUUGACAUCUGGGUGUGGUUGCUGUCCCAGAGAAGUGAUGGCAGCUAUUGACAUUCAGUGAUAUCUGAGCUAACACCUCCUGGUGUAAACUCAUCCCAGUUUGGGGACUACAAACCAGCCCGUCUCCUGGAGGCACAUCCUUUGCAAGAAAGCUUUGGUGGGAGUGGAAUCACCCACAGGGCGGAGGAGAGGGGCACACUCCUCACUCAGGACCUUCAUAGAGGACUCUUCUUUUUUUUUGGUACCGGGGAUUUCAGGGGCACUUGACUCCUGAGUCACAUCCCAAGCCAAUUUCUGUAUUUUAUUUAGAGACAGGGUUUUGAUGAGUUGCUUAGCACCUCACCAUUGCUGAGGCUGGCUUUGAAAACGCGAUCCUCCUGUCUCAGCCUCCCGAGCCGCUGGGAUUAUAGGUGUGCACCACCGCGUGCAGCCUUCAUAGAGGACUCUCUUGUGGGGUGGGGUGGGGUAACUGAAGAAAUAGCUGCCCAUGUGUGUUUAGGGUAACAGAACAUGUCCAAAAUGUUGAUUUAUCUGUCUGGUUUUAAGGAAUGUGUCUGAAGAGCUAGGUGGGUUUUGUGGUCUUCAGACGCCCUGCCCACACCAGGGGAGGUGUUUCAGGACUCUGGAGAGUGUCCUAGACUCCCAGGAGAAGAUAGCUUUUUACAAUUUGGCUUAUCUGGAGAAAUGGUCUUAUGGAUGACAGCUAGGGUCUGAUCCUUGGAGGAACAUGACUUGCCCAAGUUAUUCAGGUCAGUGGCUUCAGGUUUCUAUAUGGCCUGAAUGCCUGGGUUUGUGUCUCUCGGAACAGAGGCAAAUAUAGGGGCAGCCCAUCUUGCCUGUCUGUGUGGAGUUUAUUAAGGCACAGACAUCUCCCUUUCUGCACUCUAAAAAGUAUGUGCAAAUAGGAGCGCUGUAAGUUGAAUCCUACCUUCAAUACCAUCUUGCAUGGCUCUGGCCUUAGGGGCAGGAUGAUUUGAUAGGCAGGAUGGUGAGUGGUUACAGUCAUGACCUCUGCAGCUUCUCUACAUGAAAUUGAUUCUGGAUUCUGCCACUUUCUUGAUGUACAACCC
rnacentral:lncRNA from 1 species